CUAAAAGGGGUCAAAUAUCUACGGCUAUAAGGAUUCCUAAUGCAAGUAAGACUUAUAUUAAGGGUCUAUUUGGUUUUGAAUAGGAUUCAAACUUUUUACCUAUUUAAAAGAACCUUCUUUAAGGCUCUAAUCAUUAGAUUUUUAGUAGCUCCAUGCCUCCCAAAAAUCUCUCCAUGCCUCUCUCUCUUCUCCCUUCUAAUUCCAAUGCCCAAAGGGGUUUGGGCAUCCUCCAUCU
rnacentral:lncRNA from 1 species